rnacentral:rRNA from 1 species
GACGAACGCUGGCGGCGUGCCUAACACAUGCAAGUCGAGCGAAUGAAGUUCCUUCGGGAAUGGAUUUAGCGGCGGACGGGUGAGUAACACGUGGGCAACCUGCCUCCUAGAGGGGAAUAGCCUCCCGAAAGGGAGAUUAAUACAGCAUAAGAUUGUAGUAGCGCAUGAUACAGCAAUUAAAGGGGCCAUCCACUAUGAGAUGGGCCCGCGGCGCAUUAGCUAGUGGGUGAGGUAAUGGCUCACCAAGGCGACGAUGCGUAGCCGACAUGGGAGGGUGAUCGGCCACAUUUGGACUGAGACACGGCCCAGACUCCGACGGGAGGCAGGAGUAGGGAAUAUUGCACAAGGGGGGAAACCGUGAUGCAGCAACGCCGCGUGAGUGAUGACGGCCGUCGGGUUGUAAAGCUCUGUCUUCAGGGACGAUAAUGACGGUACCUGAGGAGGAAGCCACGGCUAACUACGUG